rnacentral:tRNA from 1 species
AGGUGCUAGUCUAAUUAAGACAACUGAUUUCGACUUAGUUAAUUGUGGUGAAAAUCCAUAGCCCCUU